GAUGAAGAACGUAGUGAAAUGCGAUAAUUAAUGUGAAUUGCAGAAUUCAGUGAAUCAUCGAAUCUUUGAACGCACAUUGCGCCCCCUGGUAUUCCGGGGGGCAUGCCUGUUCGAGCGUCAUUUCACCACUCAAGCCUCGCUUGGUAUUGGGCAACGCGGUCCGCCGCGUGCCUCAAAUCGACCGGCUGGGUCUUCUGUCCCCUAAGCGUUGUGGAAACUAUUCGCUAAAGGGUGCUCGGGAGGCUACGCCGUAAAACAAACCCAUUUCUAAGGUUGACCUCGGAUCAGGUAGGGAUACCCGCUGAACUUAAGCAUAUCAAUAAGCGGAGGA
rnacentral:misc_RNA from 1 species